GCGAGUAUGGCCCUCACGGGUCUAAUCCACCACAAACACCUUUGUGAACCAGUCAGGGGGACAUCGGCCGUGAAAGCCCAGGCGAUUAGCGGAAGAGGCCCUCCUUUGCAAACCCGUUUAGAAGUCUUGAAAGUACUUUUGUAUAAUCUAGUA
rnacentral:misc_RNA from 1 species